rnacentral:rRNA from 1 species
ACUCAAAUGAAUUGACGGGGGCCCGCACAAGCAGCGGAGCGUGUGGUUUAAUUCGAUGCAACGCGCAGAACCUUACCUGGGCUUGACAUGCUGGAAGUAGAACCGGGAAACCGGGACGACCUGUUGAGUCAGGAGUCAGCACAGAUGCUGCAUGGCUGUCGUCAGCUCGUGCCGUGAGGUGUUGGGUUAAGUCCCGCAACGAGCGCAACCCUCGUCGCCAGUUACCUUUUCUGGCGAGACCGCCGGGAUUAACCCGGAGGAAGGUGGGGAUGACGUCAAGUCAGCACGGCUCUUACGUCCAGGGCUACACACACGCUACAAUGGCCGGUACAACGGGCAGCGAAGGGGCGACCCGGAGCGAAUCCCAGCAAAGCCGGUCUCAGUUAGGAUCGGAGGCUGCAACUCGCCUCCGUGAAUGCGGAGUUGCUAGUAACCGUGGGUCAGCACACCACGGUGAAUACGUUCCCGGGCCUUGUACACACCGCCCGU